rnacentral:rRNA from 1 species
AGUGAACGCUGGCGGUAGGCCUAACACAUGCAAGUCGAACGGCAGCACAGGAGAGCUUGCUCUCUGGGUGGCGAGUGGCGGACGGGUGAGGAAUACAUCGGAAUCUACUCUGUCGUGGGGGAUAACGUAGGGAAACUUACGCUAAUACCGCAUACGACCUACGGGUGAAAGCAGGGGACCUUCGGGCCUUGCGCGAUUGAAUGAGCCGAUGUCGGAUUAGCUAGUUGGCGGGGUAAAGGCCCACCAAGGCGACGAUCCGUAGCUGGUCUGGGAGGAUGAUCAGCCACACUGGAACUGGGACACGGUCCAGACUCCUACGGGAGGCAGCAGUGGGGAAUAUUGGACAAUGGGCGCAAGCCUGAUCCAGCCAUACCGCGUGGGUGAAGAAGGCCUUCGGGUUGUAAAGCCCUUUUGUUGGGAAAGAAAUCCAGCUGGCUAAUACCCGGUUGGGAUGACGGUACCCAAAGAAUAAGCACCGGCUAACUUCGUGCCAGCAGCCGCCGUAA